CAAGAACCAUAGAGAUAGAAAGAAGAGUAAGUAAAACUCCAAUUAGACCAUGGCUGCAGCAUGCUUGUGAGAUAGAAAAUACUAAAAAUUCAAUUUUAUGUAAGUUAGUAACUAGUGGAUUGCUUCUGGAGCUCAUGCCAGAGCUGGGAGUCACAUGAGAGUUCAUGGAAGAAAGAUAUCUGUGGUAGAGUCCUGGAUGUGACAGAACACAGAUGGCACCAACGAGUUUCACAGCCAGAAAGAGAAGGUCCCGCUUGAGUGAGGACAGAUGCAAAGACUGGAGAUCAGAGCUCUUGAAACUAAGCAGUUGAAAUUACUGUUUAACUCGGGCUCCUCCAGAGGAUUCAAGCCAGUAUCCACAGUACUCAUUGAGCACCUGCCAUGCUCCAGGCAUUGAACAAAAUAGACAAAGAUCCUGCCCUCAUGAAGCUUGUAUUCCGCUUAUUGGGAACUCCUUGAAGGUUAGAGUGGUCUGGCGAGAUUUACCUGUGAACAUCAGUGACAAUGUGUUCAAGGAAAAUAAGGUAUGGAGUCUGUGGUUUAUGCCUCUGUGGUCAUACAAUAUUCAAUUCUACAUCUCCAGCAUCAAGGCGUAUAUGAGGCAGAAAAGGUUCUCAAUAAAAUUAUAUUGGGUAAACGGACAUGAUGCCUUCAAGCUUCUAAUUAGCUGAUCUCUCUUCUCUCAUCAUUCUCCUUCCUCAUUUUUAACUGCACCUUAGUUUCCUCCGUCAACUUUCCUCUCUUUUUGCCCCUCUUUCAC
rnacentral:lncRNA from 1 species